rnacentral:lncRNA from 1 species
CCUCCUACCGCUUGAGCGCAAGGUUUUUUUAGAAUUCAAUCAUCCAAUUAUACUUUCCAUCUUCCGUGUCUUUCUCAUUAUGUAUUUUUUUCCCAAUCAACUCAAAUCCUAGAUUAAACGUACUCAACCCUAACCUAAUCCUUUUCAGAUUUGUAUUUGAUUACGAUUUGGAUCAAAUUUGUGUUAUCAGAUCCACAUUUUACGAAAUCAUCAUUGUUUCUGGAAAUGAUUUGAACUAGGUUUCAAUGCAUUAUCCCUAAAUUCAGUAGAUGAUUUGAACAGGUUUAUUAAGUUGCUUGAUUAUUUGUAUGCAUAGUACCAAAUGUGGCCCAAAACAAUAUGCUACUUUUAUACAUCAAAUUAAGUAGUAAAUUGUUGCUCUUUUGAUUGCAAGUUGUGCAGUAAUUUGAUGAGAAGCAUGUGCAGUUUUUCUAUUUAUUUUUAUUAUUACGCGCUGUGGUGCAAUUUGCGUAGGUACAUGAUGCAUAUUUCUUUUUGGAAGAUAAAUACAGGAAGCGAAAGAGAGGGUAGAAACUAGAAACAAUGACUUAAAUUGGUUAAUGCUCAAAGUAAAUGCUCUCUUAGUCUCUAUUUCAUAUUACUGAAAUGAAAAUAAGAUUUCGUUCAUGUCUGGUCGAUCAUCUGGAUCUGGUUGAGUGCAGCGUAAAGCCAACUGAAGAAUCUGUGCUACAACAUCGUGUAUUGUGGAGAAAUCGGAAGCCAAAUCUGGAUCUACAAUUUCAAUCAGCCCAUUGAUUCCGUUUGAAAGUGAUUGUUCUAUCAAUUGUGGCAAAGUUAUGUCAUCUUCGAAGAAACACUGCUUCCAUCCUGGUGAUGAACUCCCAGAAUCCGAGCUGUCCCGAAGUCGCUAACAUGAGCAUUCCAUUUUUCAUCUAGAAGAAUAUUAGAAGGCUUUAAAUCACAGUGAACCAUGGUGAAGUCGUAUUCGGAAUGCAAAUAAACCAGUCCUCUUGAAACUGAAACAAGAACAUCAACUCUCUCAGAAAGAUCAAAUCUUGUUCGAUCAAUCCCAGUGUCAUGUAUAAUCUUAUCCAGAUUACCAUUUUCCAUGUAUUCAAGAACCAAAGCCUUUAAUUUCCCACUCUCCCAUGCAUAACCAACCACUUUCACUAGAUUUCUAUGCCUCAGUUUUGCUAAUGUGUUCAUUUCUUGGUAGAAACUCUUAUCAGAUUCUUCUGAAAACUCUAUAAAAUUCAGAGUUUUUACUGCUAUCAUCUUUCCGUCUGCUAGUUUACCCUUGUACACUGUGCUUAAACUGCUUGUUCCCAGAAUAUUACUUUCACUGAAUCCAUCAGUAGCACUUUCCAGUUCUUUUCUAUCAAAUCUUUUGAGAGGGAACGCUUGGGUGAAUUUUGGUUCACCAGAUUCAUUAACUUUCGGUUUUCGAACACGACAAUAACAUAAAACUCCUAACAUUAAGACAAGAAGCAAAGCUAGAGAUCCGGCUAUUGCGAAAAUAAAUACCACUUUUCUGGAUAUUUGAUGUGAAUGAUUUGAUUGGGUUGAGAAGGCACAUGACUUGGUGUCAUUGGUAACACACAGAGACGGAUUUCCAAGUAAUCCAACUACACUAGAGUUUUUGAAGAGUUUGGUAUCAGGAACACGUCCCUCGAGAUGAUUGAACGAGAGAUUGAGGUGUUUUAAUGCCACAUUGUUGCCAAAAUUUUCAGGAAUCGUGCCAUUGAAUUUGUUUUGUGAAAGAUCAACCGAAGUAAGAAGUGUCAGAUUCGCCAUGCUUUCUGGGAUCUCUCCUACCAACUGAUUUCUUGAGAGAUUUAUGUAGUAAAGAACGUCAAGAGUAGGGAAUAUUUUGUUAGAGAGGGCACCGGAAAGCUGAUUUCCUGACAAAUCAAGACUUUGCAGGUUUCUGCAGUUCUGAAUUGUUACAGGAAUACCUCCUGACAGAUUAUUGUUUGAGAUAUCAAUGGCUUGUACCAUCUCCAUCUUCCCAAACUCACUUGGGAUAGUUCCUGUCUAUCAAAACCAACCGGUUCGGUUUUGUCAAGCUGUCCCCAAUCGACCCGUUAAACCUGUUUCUGCUGAGAUCCAACCGAGAAAGCAUCCCGAGCCUUGAAACAGAAUUCAGAAUUGAACCUUCAAAGUUGUUGUUCAUCAUGUAGAGUUCAGUGAGCUGUUUAAGCUCAAAGAUUUUAUCAGGAAUCCGACCUUGUAGAUUAUUAUCACCGGUCGAAAGGCGUUGAAGGGAAGAAAUAUUUGAGAUUUCUACAGGGAUGGUGCCUGAAAAUUGGUUUUGCCCAAGAUCUAACACUAUCAAACUAGUUAAGUUUCCAAUUUCUCCAGAGAUUCCAGUGAGGAAAUCUCUGAAGAAACAUUCCCGCUUAGAUUAUUAUGUCCCAGUUGCAAACUAAUUAACGAUUUUAACUGAAACAAAGAUCUUGGGAUUGUGGAGUUCAGUUGGUUAUCGUAUAACCGCAAAAACUGUAAUCCCUGAAGAUUUCCAAUCUCACCAGGAAUGCUUCCAGUGAGCUUGUUGCUGUAUAGACUCAGAAGUUUGAGAUUUUUGCAACUACCAAUUUCAUAUGGUAUAUUUCCAGAAAGAGAAUUUUCAUUCAACUGAAGAAUUUGUAGUCUUGACAAAUUUCUGAUCUCACCAGGAAUGCUUCCAGUGAGCUUGUUAUCAUCAAGAUAAAGUUGUAGCAAAGAAGUGCAAUCACACAGGCUAUCAGGAAUGAUUCCAGUGAUGGAAUUUUUUCCCAAGUCUAGUGUCUGCAGAUUCCUGAGUUUUCCCAGUUCAGAUGGAAUUGGGCCAGAGAGGGAAUUGGUGUAAAGAUCAAGCAAUAAAAGCUUUGUGCAGUAUCCCAACUGGAAUGGAAUGUUACCAGUGAAUGAGUUAUAAGAUAAAUUAAGAAGCUGGAGGCUGGAAAGGUUUCCAAGAAAGGGAGAGAUUUGGCCUUUGAUGUGUGUUCCCUGAAUGGAAAUAGAAAUAACACGUUUGGUGAUAUUAUGGCAUUGGAUUCCAGUCCAGUUGCAAUGGUGGGUGGAAUCAGCAUUCCAAUCCAGGAGUGCACCAGUCGGGUCAUCAGUGAUUGCAUUCUUGAAGUGUUUUAAAGCAUUUGCUUCAUCUUCCAAGAUGGAAUCUGCUGAUAGAACACCAAGUACUAGAAAAGGUAGGAGUAUAAUGAUUUUAAACUUCAUUGAAGUGGUGAUGUGAUGAUUGUAUGAGUAGGAAGCUGGCCUUUAUAUUGCAGUAGUCAAUGGUCAACUGGAAUCAUUUUUUUAUU